rnacentral:misc_RNA from 1 species
GAUGAAGAACGUAGCGAACUGCGAUAAGUAAUGUGAAUUGCAGAAUUCAGUGAAUCAUCGAGUCUUUGAACGCACAUUGCGCCCCCUGGCAUUCCGGGGGGCAUGCCUGUCCGAGCGUCAUUGCUGCCCUUCAAGCCCGGCUUGUGUGUUGGGUCGUCGUCCCCCCCGGGGGACGGGCCCGAAAGGCAGCGGCGGCACCGCGUCUGGUCCUCGAGCGUAUGGGGCUUUGUCACCCGCUCGAUUAGGGCCGGCCGGGCGCCAGCCGGCGUCUCCAACCUUCUAUUUUACCAGGUUGACCUCGGAUCAGGUAGGGAUACCCGCUGAACUUAAGCAUAUCAAUAAGCGGAGGA